UCUAAAGAUGAGGACGAGGAAGAGGGCAGCUCUGGGUUAAUGAGGGUUGCAGACCCUGUAGCAUCUGAAAUCCAGCGCAGCCAUGGUCAGACAGGGGGUCCCUGCAAUCGAGCCGGCAGGGACGUGCCGUCGGCCCUGCCUUAAAUCGGAAAGUCCAGCGCGGCCGCAGCCGUGUCAGGCCGGGUCUCGGAGGCAGCGGUCUCCGCCCCCAGCCGGGCGGAGCUCUGAGAGGCGCGGGCUCGGUCGCCCAGGCUGCCCGCUCGGCCUGGUGUUCUGGGCCGUGGCUGGAUGUUGGGCCCAGUUCGCGCGCGUUUCGGAUGAAACAUUCACUGCGGACGUGAGGUAUUAGUCAAGAUUUUCCCAGUUCUUGGUCUGACACAUGAUUUCCAGUUGCACCUUUGAAAUUUUCGGUAUUAGGAGACUGGAUCUUAUUUAGAUCUGUUUAAGGAAGUCUCCUCUGACUUGCUGUUGUGGUUGAGGAAGAAGGAGGUGCUGCUUGCUACUGCCAUGUGGGGGUGAAGGUCCAGGCUCCCCACUUGGCCUCCGCUAAUGCCCCGGGAGGAGAGGAGAGCUGCAGUACUACCAGGUGGAGAUUGCAGGCUCCUUGAGGACACGCACCAGUUCUGCUGGUCGCAGCAUUCAUUCCCAGUGUCUUUUGUGGCACCUGAGCCUGAGGAGAUGUUCCUAGCUAAUCUGGAACCCAGAGAACACCCUUGGCCCCAUUCCAGGAAUGAGGAGAACUUCAUGGGAAGUGGGGAAGAGAAGUGGGCAAGCAAGUCUCCUGAUCGUUUGGGCUGCGAAUGAGAACUGUGUGUAAACUGGAGCAGAAGGAGCUGUCUACUGCUGGGUGUGCCUGGCUGCAGCCAGGGUGAGCGGGGCCGGUUAGAGGGGACUUUUUCAGGAAAGGGAAUAGCGGCCUUGCUCUGGGACAAAUCCUGUAUUGCUUUUUUCUCAAAUAAUUGUAAUCUGGUAGCAUGAAGGCUGUACCUUUUGUUUCCCUUUUACCUUGUAUGUGAAAUGAAACAUUUAAAAUGAACCCCCUGAAAAUUUAGAAGGCAAAUAAAGCAAUCCUGCUAAUUUAAUGAA